CACCGUCGAACGUAAAAUCAGAUUUAAAAAGACGCACAUUACGAUAGCCGGUGUCGAAAAUAGGAAAACGGUUGGAGAAAAAAAAUAUACGUUUUUCGGUUCAGUGUUCUAUUUCGAGGGAAAAUGUACUGUUAUUCAAUUAUUAUGUAUUAUUUAGACGCAUUUAUGGAAUAAGUCAAGACUGUCUGUCGGAAUAUUAUACUACAGUGUGAGGUCAGGAGUAGUAUUGAUUAGAAGAACUAAUUCGGUACGUAAUAUCAACGGG